UACAGAGGUCCCAAGCGUUGUUCGGAAUUACUGGGCGUAAAGCGUGCGCAGGCGGUGAUGUAAGACAGAUGUGAAAUCCCCGGGCUCAACCUGGGAACUGCAUUUGUGACUGCAUCGCUGGAGUACGGCAGAGGGGGAUGGAAUUCCGCGUGUAGCAGUGAAAUGCGUAGAUAUGCGGAGGAACACCGAUGGCGAAGGCAAUCCCCUGGGCCUGUACUGACGCUCAUGCACGAAAGCGUGGGGAGCAAACAGG
rnacentral:rRNA from 1 species